AGCCAAAGAAGAAAGAAAAGUGUAAAUACUGUUGUGGUGAUCAGAAAGAAAUGAGAAAGCAGAGACAAUCCAGUAUAGUCCUGUGAAACAGUUGGAGAAUAGUGUUGUCCAUGUAUGCUGUUAAACAGAGUACCAGUGAUAAAUGAACUCGAUGAAGUUGAGGAAAAUGAUUUUGGUCCGUCAUUUAAAAAUUUGCAAGCCGACUGUCCCACUGUAUCAACCAGAUCGAGCCUCGCUCGAUAACUGUUCUGAAGUCGGCACUGGGCGGCGACGUGCUGCGGACCAGAGGUGAUGGGUGACCGUUCUGCACCCGGCAUACAGGGGUGCAGCUGUGGGCAUAUA